CCUACGGGAGGCAGCAGUGAGGAAUAUUGGUCAAUGGACGAGAGUCUGAACCAGCCAAGUAGCGUGAAGGAUGACUGCCCUAUGGGUUGUAAACUUCUUUUAUAAAGGAAUAAAACGAGGCAAGUGUGCCUUUUUGCAUGUACUUUAUGAAUAAGGAUCGGCUAACUCCGUGCCAGCAGCCGCGGUAAUACGGAGGAUCCGAGCGUUAUCCGGAUUGAUUGGGUUUAAAGGGAGCGUAGAUGGGUUGUUAAGUCAGUUGUGAGAGUUUGCGGCUCAACCGUAAAAUUGCAAUUGAUACUGGCAGUCUUGAGUACAGUUGAGGUAGGCGGAAUUCGUGGUGUAGCGGUGAAAUGCUUAGAUAUCACGAAGAACUCCGAUUGCGAAGGCAGCUUACUAAACUGCCACUGACAUUGAUGCUCGAAAGUGUGGGUAUCAAACAGGAUUAGAUACCCCAGUAGUC
rnacentral:rRNA from 1 species